GGAUAACCUUGCGAAAGUAAGACUAAUACCCAAUGACGUCUCUAGAAGACAUCUGAAAGGGAUUAAAGAUUUAUCGGUGAUGGAUGGGGAUGCGUCUGAUUAGCUUGUUGGCGGGGUAACGGCCCACCAAGGCGACGAUCAGUAGGGGUUCUGAGAGGAAGGUCCCCCACAUUGGAACUGAGACACGGUCCAAACUCCUACGGGAGGCAGCAGUGAGGAAUAUUGGUCAAUGGGCGAGAGCCUGAACCAGCCAAGUAGCGUGCAGGAAGACGGCCCUAUGGGUUGUAAACUGCUUUUAUAAGGGAAUAAAGUGAGUCUCGUGAGACUUUUUGCAUGUACCUUAUGAAUAAGGACCGGCUAAUUCCGUGCCAGCAGCCGCGGUAAUACGGAAGGUCCGGGCGUUAUCCGGAUUUAUUGGGUUUAAAGGGAGCGUAGGCCGGAGAUUAAGCGUGUUGUGAAAUGUAGACGCUCAACGUCUGCACUGCAGCGCGAACUGGUUUCCUUGAGUACGCACAAAGUGGGCGGAAUUCGUGGUGUAGCGGUGAAAUGCUUAGAUAUCACGAAGAACUCCGAUUGCGAAGGCAGCUCACUGGAGCGCAACUGACGCUGAAGCUCGAAAGUGCGGGUAUCGAACAGGAUUAGAUACCCUGGUAGUCCGCACGGUAAACGAUGGAUGCCCGCUGUUGGUCUGAACAGGUCAGCGGCCAAG
rnacentral:rRNA from 1 species